GUGCGUUAGGGAUUGAUGCGGCAUCCUUUUUUUGCUAGAUUAAACUUAAAAAACCGACAAUAACCACUUGGUUUGUCUGUAAUUUAACAAAACCAACUUUAUAAAGUUGCAUAAAAAAAGAUAUAGCGGAAAGCCCGACCCUUG
rnacentral:sRNA from 1 species